AAAAUAAAAAAUAAAAAAAAAAAAAGAAAGAGUACAACACUCAUCAGUCAAAAUGUCAUGACUUCUAUUUCUGAAAGUACAAUCUACAACCCAUACUCUUUCAGUCAACUCUGGAGCUCAUUCAUCCCCAUGUGGGAUCUGGUUUGAGCUUGGCAGCCAGGAAUCUGCACCAGGCAAGGGGCAGGAGUGCCCAGAUAUGCUCUCCAUCUCCUUCUCACCUGGCCAUCCUUCCUGUGUCUCUACUGCAGCCUUCUAUUCCUUCUGUUCUCCAGGUUACCUGCCUGGUUUACCCAGACUCAUGAGUUAGGCGUGCCAAGCCCUUCCCAGCUGCCUCCUCCCAGGGAUUACCCAAGGCUCCUGUCCCCAGAUGUAUGCAUGGGAGCCACCAAGUACUGUUCCUCCCAAGUCUGUGUACUGCCCACCCCUUGUGUUUCUGUUGUCCUGUAGCCCACCUUCCACAUGGUCCUCUUGGGUAGAGAUGUUAGUGAAUCAGGGCAGAAUCUUCUCUGCUUCUUUGUACCUAAGGAAAUCUGUUUGCAGUCAUCCUGUGCCCCUGCCCUGAAGCAGCAGCGUCAGGCUCUGUGCUUGGUUCAGCAGUCCUCUACUUUACCACAGCCUGAGGAUCAUGUGAUUUAUGGUCAAUAGGGGCUUAUCCUCCCCACUGAUGGCUGUGGAGGGUAGGACAUCUUGUUCAUGUGUCCAUUUAAUGGGGAGAAGGCUCAGUGGGUGGGGUCAGAGUGGGAUUCAAGUUCUCUCCCCGGUCUCAGCCCAGGUUGCUCUCCACAGCUGCCACAAGCCACUGGCUCUUCCCUCUCACUUCUGCCCAUGACCUGCUGGCCUUAUGAUAACUGAGACAGGAAUGCUGUCAGGGUACGCCUUUGAAGACGACUGUAGUGACCAUGGUGAUGAACUCAGGGGAGAUGCAGAUGCAGCUGUGGAUUGAGAUGCCGGAUUCAUCAUUUGUUGGCAGCCCUUGGUGGGAAGAGGAUGGCUUGGGCUCUGAGAGUCAAAGAAGUGGAGAUGUGGCCUGUGGUUCUGCUGUUUCUCAUUCUCGUUGUCAUAGCUGCUUGAUUAUCAUAGGCAACAUGUGGGAUAUGCUGUUUUAAAAGUUGCCAUUCAAAAAUUUGAAGUUUAGGAUAUUUCCUUCCUCCAGAAGUACUUUCAUUAACUUGUACCACAUUUGGUAACCCUUUGUUCUUUGAGACUCAAGUGAAGGCCUGUAAGAUGUGGGGACAGAGAUGGACAAGGUGUGUAAGUCUCUGAAUCUCACUUGCAUGCACCUGUUGGUUCUCUGCUGAGUGACAAGAAUGCAGGAAAGCACAAGAGCAAGUAAUCUUGAAGAAAUUAAACAACAACUGGU